UCCGUAGGUGAACCUGCGGAAGGAUCAUUACCUAGAGUUUGUAGACUUCGGUCUGCUACCUCUUACCCAUGUCUUUUGAGUACCUUCGUUUCCUCGGCGGGUCCGCCCGCCGAUUGGACAACAUUCAAACCCUUUGCAGUUGCAAUCAGCGUCUGAAAAAACAUAAUAGUUACAACUUUCAACAACGGAUCUCUUGGUUCUGGCAUCGAUGAAGAACGCAGCGAAAUGCGAUAAGUAGUGUGAAUUGCAGAAUUCAGUGAAUCAUCAAAUCUUUGAACGCACAUUGCGCCCUUUGGUAUUCCAAAGGGCAUGCCUGUUCGAGCGUCAUUUGUACCCUCAAGCUUUGCUUGGUGUUGGGCGUCUUGUCUCUAGCUUUGCUGGAGACUCGCCUUAAAGUAAUUGGCAGCCGGCCUACUGGUUUCGGAGCGCAGCACAAGUCGCACUCUCUAUCAGCAAAGGUCUAGCAUCCAGUAAGCCUUUUUUUCAACUUUUGACCUCGGAUCAGGUAGGGAUACCCGCUGAACUUAAGCAUAUCAAUAAGCGGAGGAA
rnacentral:rRNA from 1 species